ensembl:snRNA U6 U6 spliceosomal RNA
GUGCCUAUGUCAGCAGCGCAUAUCCAAAAAUGGGAACAAUACAGAUCCCUUGGCAAGGAUGACUUGCAAAUCUGUGAAGUGUUCCAUAUUUUU